GCUACUACCGAUUGAAUGGUUUAGUGAGGACUCCUGAUUGGCGCCGCCGCCCCGGCAACGGAGCAGCGGACUGCCGAAAAGUUGUUCAAACUUGAUGAUUUAGAGGAAGUAAAAGUCGUAACAAGGUUUCCGUAGGUGAACCUGCAGAAGGAUCACGAUCGGAAGAGCGUCGUGUAGGGUAAGCGUUUAGAUCUCUGUUGUCCCCGUAUCAUUACAAUACAAACCAUUCCUCUCUUUCUCUUUCUUUUUUCUCUCUUUCUCUUGCUCCUUUUUACUC
rnacentral:misc_RNA from 1 species